AUCUCGGUGGCUUAGUGGUAGAGUGUCUGCCUUUGGCGCAGGUUGUGAUCCUGGCAUCCUGGGAUC
rnacentral:tRNA from 1 species